UCUCACUUCUGAGAGGUGUAGCAGCUGUGGCUGAAUUGAAAGCAGCUCCUGUUAAGAAAGUGAACAAUCUCUCGGCUUUUCUCCAUCCUGGUUGCUGGCCUUGUCUGAGAGACAGAUGGCAGACUGCUUCCUCUGAUUUUCCUGCCCGGUCCCUGAACCUGGAAGCCUCCGUGGCACAAGGUGAUUGAGGUGACGAAGCUUUACAUCCAGCCUCUUCCAGCGGACUCUCUUUGUCAUUGAGAUUUCCAAUUUCCUGACUUGUCAACACUUUCUGCC
rnacentral:lncRNA from 1 species